GACGAUGAUGCCCAGCUUGCUGGGUGGAUUAGUGGCGAACGGGUGAGUAACACGUGAGUAACCUGCCCCUGACUCUGGGAUAAGCGUUGGAAACGACGUCUAAUACUGGAUAUGAUCACUGGCCGCAUGGUCUGGUGGUGGAAAGAUUUUUUGGUUGGGGAUGGACUCGCGGCCUAUCAGCUUGUUGGUGAGGUAAUGGCUCACCAAGGCGACGACGGGUAGCCGGCCUGAGAGGGUGACCGGCCACACUGGGACUGAGACACGGCCCAGACUCCUACGGGAGGCAGCAGUGGGGAAUAUUGCACAAUGGGCGAAAGCCUGAUGCAGCAACGCCGCGUGAGGGAUGACGGCCUUCGGGUUGUAAACCUCUUUUAGUAGGGAAGAAGCGAAAGUGACGGUACCUGCAGAAAAAGCACCGGCUAACUACGUGCCAGCAGCCGCGGUAAUACGUAGGGUGCAAGCGUUGUCCGGAAUUAUUGGGCGUAAAGAGCUCGUAGGCGGUUUGUCGCGUCUGCUGUGAAAUCCCGAGGCUCAACCUCGGGCUUGCAGUGGGUACGGGCAGACUAGAGUGCGGUAGGGGAGAUUGGAAUUCCUGGUGUAGCGGUGGAAUGCGCAGAUAUCAGGAGGAACACCGAUGGCGAAGGCAGAUCUCUGGGCCGUAACUGACGCUGAGGAGCGAAAGCAUGGGGAGCGAACAGGAUUAGAUACCCUGGUAGUCCAUGCCGUAAACGUUGGGCGCUAGAUGUAGGGACCUUUCCACGGUUUCUGUGUCGUAGCUAACGCAUUAAGCGCCCCGCCUGGGGAGUACGGCCGCAAGGCUAAAACUCAAAGGAAUUGACGGGGGCCCGCACAAGCGGCGGAGCAUGCGGAUUAAUUCGAUGCAACGCGAAGAACCUUACCAAGGCUUGACAUACACCGGAAACGGCCAGAGAUGGUCGCCCCCUUGUGGUCGGUGUACAGGUGGUGCAUGGUUGUCGUCAGCUCGUGUCGUGAGAUGUUGGGUUAAGUCCCGCAACGAGCGCAACCCUCGUUCUAUGUUGCCAGCGGGUUAUGCCGGGGACUCAUAGGAGACUGCCGGGGUCAACUCGGAGGAAGGUGGGGAUGACGUCAAAUCAUCAUGCCCCUUAUGUCUUGGGCUUCACGCAUGCUACAAUGGCCGGUACAAAGGGCUGCGAUACCGUAAGGUGGAGCGAAUCCCAAAAAGCCGGUCUCAGUUCGGAUUGAGGUCUGCAACUCGACCUCAUGAAGUCGGAGUCGCUAGUAAUCGCAGAUCAGCAACGCUGCGGUGAAUACGUUCCCGGGCCUUGUACACACCGCCCGUCAAGUCAUGAAAGUCGGUAACACCCGAAGCCGGUGGCCUAACCCUUGUGGAAGGAGCCGAC
rnacentral:rRNA from 1 species